rnacentral:rRNA from 1 species
GCCUUUCAGUGGGGGACAACAGUUGGAAACGACUGCUAAUACCGCAUAAUGUAUUCUGACCGCAUGAUCGGAAUACCAAAGAUUUAUUGCUGAAAGAUGGCCUCGCGUCUGAUUUAGAUAGUUGGUGAGGUAACGGCUCACCAAGUCGACGAUCAGUAGCCGGACUGAGAGGUUGAACGGGCCACAUUGGGACUGAGAUACGGCCCAGACUCCUACGGGAGGCAGCAGUGGGGAAUAUUGGGCAAUGGGGGAAACCCUGACCCAGCAACGCCGCGUGAAGGAAGAAGGCUUUCGGGUUGUAAACUUCUUUACCAGGGACGAAGGACGUGACGGUACCUGGAGAAAAAGCCACGGCUAACUACGUG